AGAGCCAGUCUGAGCGAGUCGUCGCUCAAGGUGGCGACGAAUGAGUCGCGGCCAUAGGACUGGUUGUAGGAGCAGACUUGGGACGAGUCUGAGCCUAGACAUUGUGGGCCAUUGAACUGGGGGCAUGAAGGCGAGGAGCAGUAGAGGGGGGAGUAGGUGGAGGAGGCAGUGGGCGAGAAGGCAGCAGAGGUGGCAGGGCAGCCGGUGCAUACCGACGAGGGGACCCAACCCGAGUCGGCACUGGUGUCAAGUGCCAUGAAGAGGGGCUGCCCAGGGGUCCCAAGCUUGGCCCGAAGGACGUAAUU
rnacentral:misc_RNA from 1 species